rnacentral:ncRNA from 1 species
GUCCUGUAGUCGGGGAGCCUGAGAGCGUAUAUACCCUUCUUACUUGAAGCUGCAGCGGUGUUGGCUACGUUCGUUCACCCCAAUCACAUAGUUUAUCUAUGCUCAUGGGGAUGAACUCACUUGUCGCCUACCUGCAACUCCAAGUAGUUUGGGUAUAACAACGUGCGAAUUAAAGGCUGAGAUCGCGUAGCGAGACCCGUUGAACCUGAUUCAGUUAGGACUGACGUAGGGAACUAUCCUCAACCGCUG